AUGAAGACCGCAGCUAAAUGCGCGUCAGAAUGUGAACUGCAGGACACAUGAACACCGAUAAGUUGAACGCAUAUUGCGCAUCGGACGUCUCAACCCGACCGAUGCACACAUCCUUGAGUGCCUACUCAGUUAUCAAUAACCUCAUACCAAACUGACUGUCCCAUCUCACGAUGGGCUGUCGCAGCAUGGCGUGCUCGGACCCACUCCUGAUGUGGGACCGUGGGCGCUGAAAGUGAGAGUGCUAUUAUGACAGAUGGUACUUGUAAGGGCGAGCGAUGAACGGGCGCGCGACAAGCCGCAUGGUUCGACCUCCAGUAUCAACCAGGGAUGAAACCCCCGCAGCCUAACACCAGGCGCUAGCAAAGGGGUCCCCGGUUGGCUCGGGUCGAGUAACACUUGCGGCCCAACGCGCACGUUGAAUCGUCGAUUCGCGCCUUCUCUCUCAAAGUAGGCCUCAAGUGAUGUGUG
rnacentral:rRNA from 1 species